rnacentral:lncRNA from 1 species
AUGAAACUUCUCUUUGGAGCCCAUGAUACCUGCUGGGAAAAAAUACCUUUGUGUUCAGUUUCAAUCAUGACCUUGAACAAAAGGUGGGAAUGGUUACACAUUUCAGUGUGGGUUCACCAGGCUUGGGAACGCAACUGCUGCCCUGGGGAGCCUGAGGUCUCUGGGGCAGAGGAUGCGACUGCGUCUGUUGGACCACUUGUGGACAGUGCACACAGGCCCAAAAAAGAAAGUCAGCCUGCCGGCCAUCUGAAGUGCUGCCCAAGCGGACAGCUUGAAGAAACAAGGAGCUCUCCACGGAACAGUGAGCUGUCAGAUUCUGAAGGGCUGAGCAGACAUCAACAGCCAGCCAGAGAGGCCAUGAUCUUCAAAGGGAGGGCACCACCCCCUCCCUGGUCAAGGGUCAGCUUUAAGCACCUGCCCAGUCCAGAGAGCCAGCAUGCCAAUUCAUCGCGUCAGAGGGGAGCAAGGCCGUUUCUGCUGUUAACUUUGCCUCCCCAUCACCCUUCACCUCUGGGACAGCCAGAGCCACUCACGGCAGAGUGAGUGGGUGGGAGGAUCAGGUACAGGAGGGCUAGGCAGAGAAAACAACCCCCUGUGGAUUUCCUUUCUCCUUUUCCUAUAGAUUUUGGCCAUCCUUUCUGAGGAAUAGCAAGCUGCCAGAGAGGGGAAAUGCUGUAGGCAUAAAUGUGAACAUCUUGACUAUUACAUAGAAUCUAACUUUUGAUUAGUUUGUGUGUAUAUGUGUAUAUCUGUGACUAAAACAGAGACAUUAAAAAUAUAAUCUAAGUCUGACUACAGAAGUAUUGUCUGAAUUUUCAUCCAAAGGAGUUGAAAAGCACUAUACUAGUCCAGAGAGCAGGUUUGAAUAGGCAGUAGGAAGAAUGAUUCAAAUUGCUUUCUGGGGCUUCCCUGGUGGCUCAGUGGUAAAUAAUCUGCCUGCCAAUGCAGGGGGUGCAGGUUCGAUCCCUGAACUGGGAAGAUCCCACAUACUGUGGGGCAACUUAGCCCGCUUGCAGCAACUACUGGAGCUUGUGCAGCUAAAGCCUGUGCUGCACAGCAAGAGAAGCCAGUGCAAUGAGAAACCCAUGAACUGCAACGAAGAGUAGCCCCCGCUCUCCGCAACUAGAAAAAAGCCCAUGCAGGAACAAAGACCCGAUGCAGCCCCAAAACUAAAACAAACGAACAAAAAGUUUUCUGAUUCUUACUGCUGAGCAUUGCUUAUCCAGUGUAUUUUUAAUAUCAGCAUCUUAGCUACAACCAUGAUUCUAUGAGCUGGUUCCUAACUCUACCGGAGAUCUUUGCCUUGGGGCAAUGCUGACGCCCUGUCAGGAGGCCAAGGCUGGGAAGGGCCUCUGAGACGAUCAGUGAGGUGUCAGGGACAAAAAUGUGGGGAGAGGAGGGACAGUCAACCAAGUUCACUAACUCAGACAAUUCAUAUCUACUUUCUAUACAUUUAUCCACUAAAAAAAAACAAGUUUUGGAAACAGUGGAGCUUUCCCCUUAGUAUAACCUGGCCUCUGCCAAACACUCACUUUUACUUUUUAAAGAGCUCAGGUCAGUUAUUCUUCUAAAUACAAGAAAAUAACAAGAUAGUUUUAUGAACCAGNNNNNNNNNNNNNNNNNNNNNNNNNNNNNNNNNNNNNNNNNNNNNNNNNNNNNNNNNNNNNNNNNNNNNNNNNNNNNNNNNNNNNNNNNNNNNNNNNNNAGUUAUUCUUCUAAAUACAAGAAAAUAACAAGAUAGUUUUAUGAACCAGCUUUGUUAUAGCUUUCUUUCAAGAAGUUAAUAUUUAUUAUCUAGAAAGUAAUUCUGUGCUCAUGGACGUGUGCUUUAAAGAGUAUUGCUCCCAUAUAAUCCAACAAUCUCACUCCUGGACACAUAUCUGGAGAAAAACAUGGUUUGAAAGACUACGUGCACCCUGGCGUUCACUGUAUGGCUGUUUACAAUAUCCAGGACCUGGAAGCAACCUAAAUGUCCAUCAGCAGAGGAACAGAUAAAGAUGAUGUGGUACAUAUAUGUGGUGGACUAUUAACAGCUACUAAAAAGAAUGAGAUAAUGCCAUUUGCAGGAAUAUAAAUGGACCUAGAGAUUAUCAUACUGAGUGAAGUAAAUCAGAGAAAGAUAGGUAUCACAUGAUAGUGCUUAUAUGCAGAAUCCAAAAAUGAUACAAAUGAACUUAUUUAUGAAACAGAAACAGACUCGCUGAUUUAGAGAAUAAAUUUAUGAUAACAAGUAGGGGACGGAUAGGGAGGAGGGCUAGAAUGGGAGAUUGGGAUUGGCAUGCACACACUGCUAUAUAUAAAGUAGAUAACCAGCAGGGACCUACUGUAUAGUACAGGGAACUCUACUCAAUACUCUGUAAUACCCUAAAUGGGAAAAGAAUCUGAAAAAGAAUAGAUGCAUGUAUAUGUAUAAUUAAAUCACUGUGUUGUACACCUGAAACUAAACACUGUCAAUCAACUAUACCCCAAUAAAAAUUUUAUUUACUUAUUUUUUUAAUUUUUAAAUUUUUUUAUUUUUUUGGUUUACAAUACUGUAUUGGUUUUGCCAUAUAUUGACAUGAAUCCACCAUAGGUGUACAUGAGUUCCCAACACUGAGCCCCCCUCCCACCUCCCUCCCCAUAUAAAAAUUUAAAAAAGAGUACUGAAGUACAGUGGAAAUCAAUUUGCUGCUUACAUUCUCAUGAAGUUUAGACAGAAUCUACAGGUAUUUCUAGGCCACUGCCAGUACUGGAAUUGUCCUGUCCCGUUCCUCCACAUGGCAGAACUUUUAAAGAGGAAGAAAGAUCUGCGUUUGAGUGCUAAAGGAACGGUUCUAUUCCAAUUUUUGGUAUUUUAUCACUUGGAAGUUAAUCCUUUCCUUCUAUAUAUAUUCUAAUUCCUUGAUCGUUUUUGCAUUGUCAAUUGUAGUCUUUUUAGGAUUACAGAAAAUACUCUAAU